UAGGGAAUCUUCCGCAAUGGGCGAAAGCCUGACGGAGCAACGUCGCGUGAGUGAUGAAGGUCUUCGGAUCGUAAAACUCUGUUAUUAGGGAAGAACAAAUGUGUAAGUAACUAUGCACGUCUUGACGGUACCUAAUCAGAAAGCCACGGCUAACUACGUGCCAGCAGCCGCGGUAAUACGUAGGUGGCAAGCGUUAUCCGGAAUUAUUGGGCGUAAAGCGCGCGUAGGCGGUUUCUUAAGUCUGAUGUGAAAGCCCACGGCUCAACCGUGGAGGGUCAUUGGAAACUGGGAAACUUGAGUGCAGAAGAGGAAAGUGGAAUUCCAUGUGUAGCGGUGAAAUGCGCAGAGAUAUGGAGGAACACCAGUGGCGAAGGCGACUUUCUGGUCUGUAACUGACGCUGAUGUGCGAAAGCGUGGGGAUCAAACAGG
rnacentral:rRNA from 1 species